rnacentral:rRNA from 1 species
AGUGAACGCUGGCGGCAGGCCUAACACAUGCCAGUCGAACGGCAGCACAGUAAGAGCUUGCUCUUACCGGUGGCGAGUGGGGGGCGGGUGAGGAAUACAUCGGAAUCUACUUUUUCGUGGGGGAUAACGUAGGGAAACUUACGCUAAUACCGCAUCCGCCCUACGGGUGAAAGCAGGGGAUCUUCGCACCUUGCGCGAUUGAAUGCGCCGAUGUCGGAUUAGCUAGUUGGAGGGGUAAAGGCCCACCAAGGCGACGAUCCGUAGCUGGUCUGAGAGGAUGAUCAGCCACACGGGAACUGGGACACGGUCCAGACUCCUAAGGGAGGCAGCAGUGGGGAAUAUUGGACAAUGGGCGCAAGCCUGAUCCAGCCAUACCGCGUGGGUGAAGGAGGCCCUCGGGUUGUAAAGCCCUUUUGUUGGGAAAGAAAAGCAGCAGCUUAAUACCCUGCUUUACUGACGGUACCCAAAGAAUAAGCACCGGCUAACUUCGUG